rnacentral:rRNA from 1 species
AUUGAACGCUGGCGGCAGGCCUAACACAUGCAAGUCGAGCGGAAGAAGGGUACUUGCACCUGGAUUCAGCGGCGGACGGGUGUGUAAUGCCUAGGAAUCUGCCUGGUAGUGGGGGAUAACGUCCGGAAACGGGCGCUAAUACCGCCUACGUCCUGAGGGAGAAAGUGGGGGAUCUUCGGACCUCUCGCUCUCAGAUGAGCCGAGGUCGGAUUAGCUAGUUGGUGGGGUAAAGGCCUACCAAGGCGACGAUCCGUAACUGGUCUGAGAGGAUGACCAGUCACACUGGGACUGAGACACGGUCCAGACUCCUACGGGAGGCAGCAGUGGGGAAUAUUGGACAAUGGGCGAAAGCCUGAUCCAGCCAUGCCGCGUGUGUGAAGAAGGUCUUCGGAUUGUAAAGCACUUUUAGUUGGGAGGAAGAGCAGUUAGUUAAUACCUUGCUGUUUUGACGUUACCUGCAGAAUAAGCACCGGCUAACUUCGUG